GACGAACGCUGGCGGCGUGCUUAACACAUGCAAGUCGAACGGUGACGAGGAGCUUGCUCCUCUGAUCAGUGGCGAACGGGUGAGUAACACGUGAGCAACCUGCCCCUCACUCUGGGAUAACACUUGGAAACAGGUGCUAAUACCGGAUAUGACACAGACAGGCAUCUGUACUGUGUGGAAAGUUUUUCGGUGAGGGAUGGGCUCGCGGCCUAUCAGUUAGUUGGUGGGGUAAUGGCCUACCAAGACGACGACGGGUAGCCGGCCUGAGAGGGCGACCGGCCACACUGGGACUGAGACACGGCCCAGACUCCUACGGGAGGCAGCAGUGGGGAAUAUUGCACAAUGGGCGAAAGCCUGAUGCAGCGACGCCGCGUGAGGGAUGACGGCC
rnacentral:rRNA from 1 species